UUCCCAACCCAGGGAUUGAACCCAGGUCUCCCAUAUUGCAGGCGGAUACUUUACCGUCUGAACCACCAGGGA
rnacentral:tRNA from 1 species